CCAAUCUCCAUUGUUGUACCUGC
rnacentral:siRNA from 1 species